GAUGAACGCUGGCGGCGUGCCUAAUACAUGCAAGUCGAGCGAACAGACGAGGAGCUUGCUCCUCUGACGUUAGCGGCGGACGGGUGAGUAACACGUGGAUAACCUACCUAUAAGACUGGGAUAACUUCGGGAAACCGGAGCUAAUACCGGAUAAUAUAUUGAACCGCAUGGUUCAAUCGUGAAAGCCGUUUUUGCUGUCACUUAUAGAUGGAUCCGCGCCGCAUUAGCUAGUUGGUAAGGUAACGGCUUACCAAGGCAACGAUGCGUAGCCGACCUGAGAGGGUGAUCGGCCACACUGGAACUGAGACACGGUCCAGACUCCUACGGGAGGCAGCAGUAGGGAAUCUUCCGCAAUGGGCGAAAGCUUGACGGAGCAACGCCGCGUGAGUGAUGAAGGUCUUCGGAUCGUAAAACUCUGUUAUUAGGGAAGAACAAAUGUGUAAGUAACUAUGCACGUCUUGACGGUACCUAAUCAGAAAGCCACGGCUAACUACGUG
rnacentral:rRNA from 1 species